CUCGUCAGUCUUCAGAAACACGGCUUAGUUGCUGGUAAAACGGAACCAAGUCGGGUGUUUGCGAGAGGUUUGGUCCCUUUCAACCAGCUACUGCGCCGUGAAUUCAGCCUGCAACACUGA
rnacentral:pre_miRNA from 8 species